rnacentral:rRNA from 1 species
UUAAGCGACUAAGCGUACACGGUGGAUGCCCUGGCAGUCAGAGGCGAUGAAGGACGUGCUAAUCUGCGAAAAGCGUCGGUAAGGUGAUAUGAACCGUUAUAGCCGGCGAUGUCCGAAUGGGGAAACCCAGUGCAAUUCGUUGCACUAUCGUUAACUGAAUACAUAGGUUAACGAGGCGAACCGGGGGAACUGAAACAUCUAAGUACCCCGAGGAAAAGAAAUCAACCGAGAUUCCCCCAGUAGCGGCGAGCGAACGGGGAGCAGCCCAGAGUCUGAAUCAGCUUGUGUGUUAGUGGAACGGUCUGGAAAGUCCGACGGUACAGGGUGAUAGUCCCGUACACCAAAAUGCACAGGCUGUGAACUCGAAGAGUAGGGCGGGACACGUGGUAUCCUGUCUGAAUAUGGGGGGACCAUCCUCCAAGGCUAAAUACUCCUGACUGACCGAUAGUGAACCAGUACCGUGAGGGAAAGGCGAAAAGAACCCCGGCGAGGGGAGUGAAAAAGAACCUGAAACCGUGUACGUACAAGCAGUGGGAGCACCUUCGGGUGUGACUGCGUACCUUUUGUAUAAUGGGUCAGCGACUUAUAUUCUGUAGCAAGGUUAACCGUAUAGGGGAGCCGCAGGGAAACCGAGUCUUAACUGGGCGUUAAGUUGCAGGGUAUAGACCCGAAACCCGGUGAUCUAGCCAUGGGCAGGUUGAAGGUUGGGUAACACUAACUGGAGGACCGAACCGACUAAUGUUGAAAAAUUAGCGGAUGACUUGUGGCUGGGGGUGAAAGGCCAAUCAAACCGGGAGAUAGCUGGUUCUCCCCGAAAGCUAUUUAGGUAGCGCCUCGUGAACUCAUCUUCGGGGGUAGAGCACUGUUUCGGCUAGGGGGUCAUCCCGACUUACCAACCCGAUGCAAACUACGAAUACCGAAGAAUGUUAUCACGGGAGACACACGGCGGGUGCUAACGUCCGUCGUGAAGAGGGAAACAACCCAGACCGCCAGCUAAGGUCCCAAAGUCAUGGUUAAGUGGGAAACGAUGUGGGAAGGCACAGACAGCCAGGAUGUUGGCUUAGAAGCAGCCAUCAUUUAAAGAAAGCGUAAUAGCUCACUGGUCGAGUCGGCCUGCGCGGAAGAUGUAACGGGGCUAAACCAUGCACCGAAGCUGCGGCAGCGACACUAUGUGUUGUUGGGUAGGGGAGCGUUCUGUAAGCCUGCGAAGGUGACCUGUGAGGGUUGCUGGAGGUAUCAGAAGUGCGAAUGCUGACAUAAGUAACGAUAAAGCGGGUGAAAAGCCCGCUCGCCGGAAGACCAAGGGUUCCUGUCCAACGUUAAUCGGGGCAGGGUGAGUCGACCCCUAAGGCGAGGCCGAAAGGCGUAGUCGAUGGGAAACAGGUUAAUAUUCCUGUACUUGGUGUUACUGCGAAGGGGGGACGGAGAAGGCUAUGUUAGCCGGGCGACGGUUGUCCCGGUUUAAGCAUGUAGGCUGGUUGUCCAGGCAAAUCCGGAUAAUCAAGGCUGAGGUGUGAUGACGAGGUACUACGGUGCUGAAGUAACAAAUGCCCUGCUUCCAGGAAAAGCCUCUAAGCAUCAGGUAACAUUAAAUCGUACCCCAAACCGACACAGGUGGUCAGGUAGAGAAUACCAAGGCGCUUGAGAGAACUCGGGUGAAGGAACUAGGCAAAAUGGUGCCGUAACUUCGGGAGAAGGCACGCUGGUGUGUAGGUGAAGUCCCUGCGGAUGGAGCUGAGACCAGUCGAAGAUACCAGCUGGCUGCAACUGUUUAUUAAAAACACAGCACUGUGCAAACACGAAAGUGGACGUAUACGGUGUGACGCCUGCCCGGUGCCGGAAGGUUAAUUGAUGGGGUUAUCCGUAAGGAGAAGCUCUUGAUCGAAGCCCCGGUAAACGGCGGCCGUAACUAUAACGGUCCUAAGGUAGCGAAAUUCCUUGUCGGGUAAGUUCCGACCUGCACGAAUGGCGUAAUGAUGGCCAGGCUGUCUCCACCCGAGACUCAGUGAAAUUGAACUCGCUGUGAAGAUGCAGUGUACCCGCGGCAAGACGGAAAGACCCCGUGAACCUUUACUAUAGCUUGACACUGAACAUUGAGCCUUGAUGUGUAGGAUAGGUGGGAGGCUUUGAAGCGUGGACGCCAGUCUGCGUGGAGCCAACCUUGAAAUACCACCCUUUAAUGUUUGAUGUUCUAACGUUGGCCCCUUACCGGGGUUGCGGACAGUGUCUGGUGGGUAGUUUGACUGGGGCGGUCUCCUCCCAAAGCGUAACGGAGGAGCACGAAGGUUAGCUAAUCCUGGUCGGACAUCAGGAGGUUAGUGCAAUGGCAUAAGCUAGCUUGACUGCGAGCGUGACGGCGCGAGCAGGUGCGAAAGCAGGUCAUAGUGAUCCGGUGGUUCUGAAUGGAAGGGCCAUCGCUCAACGGAUAAAAGGUACUCCGGGGAUAACAGGCUGAUACCGCCCAAGAGUUCAUAUCGACGGCGGUGUUUGGCACCUCGAUGUCGGCUCAUCACAUCCUGGGGCUGAAGUAGGUCCCAAGGGUAUGGCUGUUCGCCAUUUAAAGUGGUACGCGAGCUGGGUUUAGAACGUCGUGAGACAGUUCGGUCCCUAUCUGCCGUGGGCGCUGGAGAAUUGAGGGGGGCUGCUCCUAGUACGAGAGGACCGGAGUGGACGCAUCACUGGUGUUCGGGUUGUCAUGCCAAUGGCACUGCCCGGUAGCUAAAUGCGGAAGAGAUAAGUGCUGAAAGCAUCUAAGCACGAAACUUGCCCCGAGAUGAGUUCUCCCUGAGACUUUAAGUCUCCUGAAGGAACGUUAAAGACGAUGACGUUGAUAGGCCGGGUGUGUAAGCGCAGCGAUGCGUUGAGCUAACCGGUACUAAUGAACCGUGAGGCUUAACCUU